AGUAGUUUGGCAGAAUAGUGCGUACGACUUAGGAUCGUAAUAUAACAUUGUUAACUAUUA
rnacentral:tRNA from 1 species